GAUGAACGCUGGCGGCGUGCCUAAUACAUGCAAGUCGAGCGAACGGACGAGAAGCUUGCUUCUCUGAUGUUAGCGGCGGACGGGUGAGUAACACAUGGAUAACCUACCUAUAAGACUGGGAUAACUUCGGGAAACCGGAGCUAAUACCGGAUAAUAUUUUGAACCGCAUGGUUCAAAAGUGAAAGACGGUCUUGCUGUCACUUAUAGAUGGAUCCGCGCUGCAUUAGCUAGUUGGUAAGGUAACGGCUUACCAAGGCAACGAUGCAUAGCCGACCUGAGAGGGUGAUCGGCCACACGGGAACUGAGACACGGUCCAGACUCCUACGGGAGGCAGCAGUAGGGAAUCUUCCGCAAUGGGCGAAAGCCUGACGGAGCAACGCCGCGUGAGUGAUGAAGGUCUUCGGAUCGUAAAACUCUGUUAUUAGGGAAGAACAUAUGUGUAAGUAACUGUGCACAGCUUGACGGUACCUAAUCAGAAAGCCACGGCUAACUACGUG
rnacentral:rRNA from 1 species